AAUCCUGAGAUGUACGAGGACUUUGUGUGUUCAACCGACAGAAUAGAUACGGGAGUUCGGGUUUCACUUUUUAUGCCAUGCCGGUUAUGCCCGGAAGGCAAAGAUUGUGAACAGGGCACCCACCUGCUUGAAGAGGCGGGUAUGAACAUGCAGGAACACGGCACCGCGGGAGAUGA
rnacentral:other from 1 species